GGAAUAAGGGUGGAGAAUAUGUCAUAAUCAUUAUGCCCAGACAACUUAAUAGAGCCUGGCAAGCAGAUUUGUGGAAAGACUUCUGGAAUGGUUGAACUUGAAAGAAACAGUGGGUUUUUAUUUUUUCUGGAGCUGUUCUAGCCAGCUCCCAGAGAACCUCAGUUCCAGACAAAAGGGAAGAGACUGUAAAAUGGUUUGGAAAAAAAAAAGCCUCGGAAUGAAAGGAAUAAAGAUAAAGAUCCUUGGAAAACUUUUUCUCCAUUUCAUUGGAAGUUUUCUUGCCUCACAUUUUUGCAAGGAUGUAAGUCUGGUUGUAUGAUGAACCCAAUCUGCCUCUUGUUAAUCAUUUGCCAUGUACCUUUUUUCCCAUCUUCCUUCCUAUUAAGUCCUCUUGAUUAAACUGUCUUCUUUUGUCUCACAUUCCCUUG